AGUGAACGCUGGCGGUAGGCCUAACACAUGCAAGUCGAACGGCAGCACAGUAAGAGCUUGCUCUUACGGGUGGCGAGUGGCGGACGGGUGAGGAAUACAUCGGAAUCUACUUUUUCGUGGGGGAUAACGUAGGGAAACUUACGCUAAUAUCGCAUACGACCUACGGGUGAAAGCAGGGGAACUUCGGACCUUGUGCGAUUGAAUGAGCCGAUGUGGGAUUAGUUAGUUGGCGGGGUAAAGGCCCACCCAGGCGACGAUCCGUAGCUGGUCUGAGAGACUGGUCGGCCACACUGGAAGUGAGACACGGUCCAGACUCCUACGAGAGGCAGCAGUGGGGUAUAUUGGACAACGGGCGCGAGCCUGAUACAGCGAUACCGCGUGGGUGGAGGAGGCCUUCGGGUUGUAAAGCCCUUUUGUUGGGAAAGAAAAGCAGCAGGUUGAUACCCAGCGGUUCUGACGGUACCCAGAGAAUAAGCACCGGCUAACUUCGUG
rnacentral:rRNA from 1 species